AAAGAAUUCCGUUGCGUUGCAGUUUAUUGAGCUCCAUCGAGAAGUGUGACGAAGAAGGCCGUUAAUAAUUCAACUACUUAAAGAAUACGGGUUAGAUAUGGACAACGACUUCGAAGACAUUUGCAGUAGGCUAAACAGAGAAAGAGAGGGAGACCCAAAACUACCUGUCCUGGCAUCACAUUUGAGGAGAAGAAGUCGGUGAAUAUGACCUAGCCCGGGGGAGUUUCCAGAAGAAGGCCCAGAACCACCGGCCGCCAGGAGUGGAGGUCCUUUGUUGUUGCUCUACAUGUCAGGAGGCAUCGGGCAGUAGCCCUGGUAGAAGCACCAUCUUGAUACUAUCAUUCAAACUCUCAUCAGCUGUAUCAUUAA